CAUUAACCCAGGCAAAAUUUCACAUCUUGCCCGCCAGAUUAUUACGAGCCAAAACUUAAAACUCAAAGGACUUGACGGUGUUGCAAGCCUGUCUAGAGGAGCCUGUCUAAUAAUCGAUACCCCACGCUCCACCUCACCCCCCCUAGCACUAGCCGCCUAUAUACCGCCGUCACCCUCGCCCACCUUUUGAAAGCACAACCGUGGGCUAAACAGCCAAACCACUAGCACAUCAGGUCAAGGUGUAGCUGAUGGGGGGGAACAAAAGAUGGGCUACACUUUCUACGAAAGAUCACCACAAACCAAAUGAAAAUGUGUUGGAAGCUGGAUUUAGCAGUAAAUUUAACAAGAAAGUUAAAUUGAAACACGCACUG
rnacentral:rRNA from 1 species